rnacentral:tRNA from 1 species
GCGUCCAUGGUGGAAUUGGCAGACACGCUACUUUGAGGUGGUAGUGGGGCAACCCGUGAAGGUUCAAAUCCUUUUGGACGCACCA